rfam:Cavia porcellus supercont2_33 genomic scaffold, whole genome shotgun sequence.
UCUACGGGCCAUACCACCCUGAACACACCUCAUCUUGUCUGAUCUCGGAAGCUAAGCAGGAUCGGGCCUGGUUAGUACUUGGAUGGGAGGAGUUCGAGACCAGCCUGGGUUA